rnacentral:pre_miRNA from 1 species
UUUGUACUCCCUCCGUCCCUAAAUUCUUGUCUUAAAUUUGUCUAAAUACGGAUGUAUCUAGUUACAUUUUAGUGUUAGAUACAUCUGUAUCUAAACAAAUGUAAGACAAGAAUUUUGGGACGAAGGGAAUACUAC